CACAGCUCUGACUCAUACAGGAUUCAGGAGGGUGGAAACAAUCUCUAACCCACACACUCUCUUACCAUUGUGGCGAUCCUGUGGAUGAGAGAGGAUAAACACAGUAGAAAUACAGUACUUUCACUUGGAGCUGAGAUGAACGUGGUACCUUCAGGCGUUUGGAAAUUGCUCCCAAGGAUGAACCAGACUUGUGGAGGUCUACAAUUUCUUUUGAUUUUCCCAUGAUGUCAAGCAAAAAGGCACUGAGUUUGAAGGACCUAAGCCCUAGGAUCAUGCCUCUGGACGACCUGGCGUGAUGACUCCUGGCUGUCCCCAGUCCACCUGGUUGUGCUGCUGCUCCAGUUUCAACUGUUCUCCCUGCGGCUAGGGAACCCUGACCUGUUCACCAGACGUUCUACCCUGUCCUGUACCUGCUGUUUUCGACUCUCUCUCUCUCUACUGCACCUGCUGUCUCAACCUCUGAAUGUUCAGCUAUGAAAAGCCAACUGACAUUUACUCCUGAGGUACUGACCUGUUGCACCCUCUACAACCACUCUGAGUAUUAUUUGACCCUGCUGGUCAUCUAUGAACGUUUGAACAUCUUGAAGAACAAUCUGGCUUUAAAUAGCCAUGUACUUUUAUAAUCCCCACCUGGCACAGCCAGAAGAGGACUGGCCUCCCCUCACAGCCUGGUUCCUCUCUAGGUUUCGUCCUAGGAUCCUGCCUUUCUAGGGAGUUUUUCCUAGCCACUGUGCUUCUACAUCUGCAUUUCUUGCUGUUUGGGGUUUUAGACUGGGUUUCUGUCACAUUCUGACAUCUGCUGAUGUAAAAAGGGCUUUAUAAAUACAUUUGAUUGACUGAUUGACUGCAGAGAAUAUGAGGGUCUUUGAGAAAAACAACUUGAAUUAUAUCAUACCAGUAUACAUUAACUUACACACUCAUGCUGACAAAAAGCUGCAAACACAUACACCACUCUGUCUAUGCAAAUGUGCACAAUGCCACAAGGAGCUCUCUACCACUCCCAAGAUUUCCUCAGAUAUCUUCAAAGCAUUUCAGAACUCCUGCAAAGCCUUGGUUUAUUUAGAGGCAUCGGAUCAACAGUGUGGCACCGGGGGAGCCUGAGCUGUCUCAUCCGUUUGUCACCAGGAGUUGUGUUCUUAUUUUCCACUUCCACAUAUCCAAGUCUAUUCCUCCCUUCCUCCACCUACCUUUCUCCCCUACCCCCUACCCCCUACCUCCUCACAGCGGAAGUUCGUCAAAUAACCGAGCAACACUUCAAAAACAGGAGCUGGGGUGUUGUCCUCUAAAAAUCUCAGCAGGGUCUGUCCGUCUCAGCGAGGAAAAGGGGGAGAGGUGAGACAAGAGAGAAAAGAGAAGAGAGCAUAGAGGAGAGAGGGGACAGAGAGGGGAGAGAGAAGAGAGAGGAGAGGGGAAGGAGAGGGGAGAGAUCAGAGAGGAGAUGAAGAGGAGAGAGGGGAGAGAUUAGAGAGGAGAUGAAGCAGGGAGAAAGAAGAGAGGGGAUGGAGAGGGGAGGGGAGGGGAAGGAGAGGGGAGAGAGGGAGAGAGGGAGAGAGAGAAAGAAAGAGAGAGGGAGGAGGGAGAGUGAGAGAGGGAGGAGAGAGAGAGAG
rnacentral:lncRNA from 1 species